rnacentral:rRNA from 1 species
CAAGUCGAGCGCGAAAAGAGCAAUCUGAGUAGAGCGGCGCACGGGUGCGUAACACGUGGGUAAUCUGCCUCGAGGUCUGGGAUAACCUUCCGAAAGGUUGGCUAAUACCAGUUAAGCUCACGGUGACUUCGGUCGCUGAGAGAAAAGGGGCCCGAAAGGGUCUCGCCACGAGAUGAGCCCGCGGCCCAUCAGCUAGUUGGCGGGGUAACGGCCCACCAAGGCAACGACGGGUAGCUGGUCUGAGAGGACGAUCAGCCACACUGGAACUGAGACACGGUCCAGACUCCUACGGGAGGCAGCAGUGGGGAAUUUUGCACAAUGGGCGAAAGCCUGAUGCAGCAACGCCGCGUGUGUGAUGAAGGUCUUCGGAUCGUAAAGCACUUUCGACUGGGACGAAUAAGGCUGGCCACACCAGCCCCUGACGGUACCAGGAGAAGAAGCACCGGCUAACUCUGUGCCAGCAGCCGCGGUAAUACAGAGGGUGCAAGCGUUGUUCGGAAUUAUUGGGCGUAAAGCGCGUGUAGGCGGCUUANCAAGUCGGGCGUGAAAGCCCUCGGCUCAACCGAGGAAGUGCACCCGAAACUGCUGAGCUUGAGUGCCGGAGAGGAUGGCGGAAUACCCCAAGUAGAGGUGAAAUUCGUAGAUAUGGGGUGGAACACCGGUGGCGAAGGCGGCCAUCUGGACGGUAACUGACGCUGAGACGCGAAAGCGUGGGUAGCAAACAGGAUUAGAUACCCUGGUAGUCCACGCCGUAAACGAUGAGAACUAGAUGUCGCGGGUGUUGACCCCUGCGGUGUCGCAGCUAACGCAUUAAGUUCUCCGCCUGGGAAGUACGGUCGCAAGAUUAAAACUCAAAGG